rnacentral:rRNA from 1 species
CGUGAGCAACCUGACUCGAAGAGGGGGACGAACAGGGCUGGAAACGGCUGGCUAAUACCGCAUAAGACCACAACGCGGCAUCGCGAAGGGGUCAAAGAAUUUCGCUUUGAGAGGGGCUCGCGUCCCAUUAGAUAGUUGGUGAGGUAACGGCCCACCAAGUCCGCGAUGGGUAGCCGAGCUGAGAGGCUGAUCGGCCACACUGGAACUGAGACACGGUCCAGACUCCUACGGGAGGCAGCAGUAGGGAAUAUUGGGCAAUGGGCGCAAGCCUUGACCCAGCAACGCCGCGUGAGGGAAGAAGGUUUUCGGAUUGUAAACCUCUGUCCUAUGUGACGAAGGAAGUGACGGUAGCAUAGGAGGAAGCCCCGGCUAACUACGUGCCAGCCGCAGC